rnacentral:rRNA from 1 species
AUGUAGAAGACAUGCAAGGUUCCUAAUCCUGAAUAUAUGGCGGUAGAUGAUGAUAUACCUAUAGAGGAUCUGUCUACACCUACAAACAAAAGGAAGAAAUGUGAUGAAACAACGGCUACAACAGAUGGUGAUGCAGCAGAUGAUGAAGUCCUUAUCAAUCUUAUAAGGAAAAGGGCCAGAACAACUCCACGGAAGCCGAAGGCACCUGAAAAGUUCAAUACACCAGCCAAGAAGAAGACACCUGUGAAGAUAGCUACGGUAGAAGAGAAGAUCAUGAAAAAGACUCCUGUGAAGAAAGCUACAACACAACAGAAAACCAAAAAGAAGACCCCCGUGAAGAAAGUUGCAUCACAAGAGAAAGCCAAGAAGAAGACAUCUAAAGGGAAGAAAGUCAAGAAGAAUGUUCCAUUUGCGCCUGUUAUACCUCCACCUCCACCUCCACCUCCAGAAAGGCAGCCUACAAAUGAUGCAAAAAGAAGCCUUCUUUAUUGGCUUGGUGGCUAG